UGCACAGGCUCCAAGUUACAAUAGUCAGUAUAACUUAGCCAGGUCUACUGUAAAAUCCCAUCAAGCUCCCUGCUGAGAUGAGGGUCUUAUUCCUCAGUGCACAGGGCCUCUCUGGGUUGGAAGUCAGUGCUGAGGAAGGUUAGGGCGCUCCGUAUUUUUAAAAUAGUUACGGAGAAAGAACUUCGUGGAAUUGCUAGGAACUACAGCCAGCUCCCAGUAGACAGGGAAUUUUCCACAAUCUCUUUGCCAGCAAGGGAGGGUGAGCUCAGGUUACAAAGCCAAGUGAGAAGGGCCUGCAGAAGAGUGGAAGCUGAGCCCAAAGCCCUGUGUGGGCAAGCGCUUACAAUGAGGACCAGCUUUUGUGCUCCUAAAAGCCUAGUGGAAGCAGCCAAGUGUCUUGGACUAGAUCUGAUUGCUUUUGAAAAAGUUCACCAGCUUGGGACUCUUGCCAGAGAAGUUGUGUUUAGUUGGAGUGCCCAGGGUGAGAGAAUGGGGACAAUGACAGUGCCUCGAGUGCCCGGCCUUCUGCUCAGCCUCUGGUCACAGACAGUGCCCCAGCGCCAUGCCUUCUGCUCAGAACACUGGUCAUAGAGCUUCCUUUACUUGAGCCAGUAGCUCAUGGCCCAAGCAAAAGCUGGAGAACAAAUCGAAGACGGAGACUUGCAAAAGCACCCUGUGUUGAGUGUGUAUGCUUGAUCUUCAGAACCUCCCCAAAUACUGUUCAGCUUGAAUUAGAGAGAAACCAACCAUCUGAAGGGGAAAAACAAACAAACAAACAAAAAAGGAAUGGACAGCCAGGCAGCUCACAUCGGAUCCACCUGGGAUGCAGAGGCACGAGUCUACGUCUGGGGGUUGAAUACUGGCGAACCCAGAAGGUCAACUGUUUCUUCCUUUGCAGUCCCUUUGCUCCCUUCAACUGAGCCAACUGUUCUCUGUCAGCAAUGCUGGGCCUGGAAGGAUGGGGACAGCCUGGAGUCUGGCCCAAGCCGCAAGCUUUCAAGGCCUUAGUCUUCAAUAAACAGCUACAAUGCUAAAUGUCUGGAUUCAGCUUUUUUCUGCUGGGUAGCCUGUGGUUGCCAUGGAUAUGGCUUUGUCUUUGGAGGCCCACAAGCAAGGAGGAGUUAAGUAAAUCCUAAUGGGUCAACAUUUCCAUAAAACUAGAAAGAAAAAAAAAAGAGAAAAAGGGCACACUUUCUUAAAAAACUCCAACAAAAUCAUUAAACAGUUCCAAAUUAAUGACCAAAAUACCAGCAAAAUCUUCAGGUUUUCCUGGCCAGAACUUAAACAAGUGUGCAGAAUUGGAAAGACAAAGUUCUACUAACAGCCCCGAUGGCGGAAGUGAAAAUGAUGGUGUCCCGCCCCCUUGAGUGUUUUGGACAAUAAAAGGUUCCCUUUCUUCUUUCUUGCCA